UCGCUGAGGGAAGCCGGCGGCUACUUCUGUUUCCGUUGGCAGCCGCUCCCGCUUCUGAUAUGAGUGGAUCCUGCUCCCGCUCGCCCCUAGUCAACCUCCUGCGUCGGCGCGCCACUGUCGCCUCCGCCGACUCCACCCAUGGGUGGAGGAGAUGGCCGAAUCGGCCGCCGUGGCGUGCAAGCGCGGGCUGCUCCUGCACAACCACCAGCGCCCGUGGAGGAGCUGCGGCGGGGAGGUGUUCAUCUACUCUUUUUUGUCACUGGAAUAAGGGCAACAUUAAAUGACCAAGUUUAAUCCAUGUACCAUGGCAACUAACAUAUAAUCUUACCAUGCCAAUUUAAGAUGUGUUUUUGCCAUGGCAAAUUAAGGUAUGUUUUUAGGGUGUGUAAAAUUUUGAAAGUUUCUAAAAACCAGGCAAUCUUGCGAUCCUUCAAAUAGGUUGCCACCAUUUUCUUCAAAUGUAUGUUAGUUUUCAUUUCUCUAACACGGCAAACUUACUAUAUGGACCAUGGCAAAAUUAAUUGAUGGACCAUGGCAAGUUUAAUUCAAGUACCAUGGAAUAUUUAUUUUGUCACAUCGCGGCUUUUUUUUACGUAAAUGACAUUUUCCUUUAUAGAUUUUACAUGGCAAGUUUGACUCAAGUAUCAUGUCUAUUUUUUGUCCAUGUUUUAGAUUCCAUGGCAAAACAAUCACUAAAACAUGACAAAUUCUGAAAGUUUUUUAAUCAUGGCAAACUUGCCAUCUUUCAAAUAGUUAACCCCAUUUUUUCUUGAAAUGCAUGUUACCAUGGUCCAUAUAGACAUGGAAAUUUUUCCAUAUUUUAUUUAUAUAUUUUUUAACAUGGCAAACUUUUUUAUGGACCAUGGCAAAAUUAAUUUAUGGAUCAUGGCAAGUUUAAUCCAAGUACUAUGGCAAAUUCAUACUCGAUAACAUGGCAAGUUUAAUCCAAGUACCAUGGCAAAAACUUUUAAAUUUGCAUGUUUUCUCAUUUAAUACCAUGGCAUUUUCUCGUGUAUAUGCUGUUUUUUUGUUUUUUACCAGGGCCAAUUUUAUUUUCUAUUCUACGGCAAAUUCAUCAAGUAUACCAUGGAAAACUUCUAAUUGUGUCAUGGCACUUUUUGUCCAUGUUUUUACUUUCUCUUGGUUGUGUGUAAGGAAAAUGCAAGUAAAUUUGUGUAUUCAAAGAUGUCAAAGUUAAUAAAUUUUGAUCCAUUUGACAUGGCAUUGCUCAGAAUUUUUCUAUACAUGCCCAAUGGCAAUUUUUGUACAAGUCUUUUUUGUUCUAUCUUAUAUGGUCAUUUUUUUUGUGUUUUCUUAAUAUUAUGGCAAAAUUUCCACACUCAAUUUGUCAUGAAGUGUGCAGGAACAUCAUGUCAAAUCAUGAAAAUUUCUGUAAUAUACGUUUUUUCCAUGAUUAUGUGGUAGUUCUGUUUAUUAAAGCAUGGCAACUUUCUGUUCCUGGAUAUUUUUCAGGUAGUGUUUUUCUUGGUCCAGUACAUUUUUAGGCAUUUUUUGUGUUUUCUCUAUUGUUUAGGAUAGAAGCAGUUUUGGGCCUUCAAUAUUUUAGUUCUUUGUUUUUUUUAUUCUUGGGCUUGCCCCAUUUUUGGGCUGAUCGUUGUCCUUGCCAGAUCGUUGUCCAAGUUUAUCUGACGUGGGAUGGUUCGGGCUAGAGGGGUACUUCUAUCGAACGAGUUCGUUCGUUCCAACGACUCUCCCAGCACGAACGACUCGUUCGGGCUGGGGUAUCCCCAGACCGAUCGUUCGGCAGUUAUCGAUGUCCAAUUUUUAUGGUUGGACCUCGUGUAUAUAUAGCAGGUGGAUUUGGUUAGGGGUAUUGGGUCCCUCCUAUCGUAAUCGGACGGUUGAAAAUAAACGAAAACACUAACGUCCACACAUGUGGCACUACUGUAACUCGUCCACAUGCGUGGAUCACCGUCCAGUUAAGUUCGCACGAAUCUUGACACAUUGAGGCAGUUUUCACUUGCCACGUAGAACGAAGUUGGUGGGUGGGAGUUUUGGCAGCUCGCCCGCACGCUGGUUUCUCGCACUGAUCUUUUGGUUCAUGUUCGGGCCGAACGACGCGCUACCGCACAAAUCUUAUCCACUCCCCCGUCCACUCCUCCCGCGGGUUCACUCUCUCCCCUUCCUCUCGAGCUCGUGCGGCGGAAUUUUGAGAGACCACGGUGAGAGGAGCUCGUGCCUGUGGCUGCGUGGUGGCCUACUCAGACCCCGCGACGGAGGAGCUGCUCAUGGACGCAUGCGCGGCUCUCCCAAGCGCUCCUGCUCGGCGGCUCCGGCGACGCGCGCGCUGGCGGUGAGGAGCGGCGGGAAGGAGAUGGGGGCGAUGCGUUCGACGACGAUGGCCACCCCUGCUACUGUCCUCGGUGUCGGCGCUCGUUCCUUGCCUGCGACGACGGCGCCGCCAGGAACGGCGCCCUCCGCUCUUCCCCACUGUUCUGGCUUGAUCUGGUGGCAAGGGUGCUCAGGAGCGAUUCGUCGGCGGCGGGGGAGGCGGAGCUCGACAAGGAGGUGAGCGAGGUCGUGCGUCUUGCGGCCGAGCUGCUUGUUGUCGGGGGGAACGUUGUCGUCUUCAUGCACUGCGCCGUCAGGGAGAUGGUCACCGGGAGGCGUAGGUGUCCGAGGGAGAGGCCACGGAGGUGGGCAGAGGUUGACGACGAGCUUCCGUGCUUCACCAUCGGCAUGAGGCGCAGUUGGGCCAGGAGGUGGACGAGGCCCUGCUAGUUGCAGCGGAGCUGCUCGUCGGCGUGGACGACGUCUUCUUCGUGUGUGUCGCCGAUGGGGAACUGCUCGGCGGAGUUCGUCGCGAGCUCAGGUUACCUAGGCCAACAGGGGACGAGAAAUUGGAUCAGCAGCUGGCGGUUUAGUUUCUCUCCAGCGGAUCAGCAACCAUGGCAAUUUUUACACUGAACUCUAUUUUUGAUGGCAAGGAGUUCCUUUUUCUUCUUCAUUUUUUACUUUUUUUCCUCGUGCUUUUUAUUUCACGUCUGGGAAGAGGCCCAGCAAAAUGGGCUCUUAGGCCUUUUUAGAUCGCUAAGAUCGUUCCGAACGUCAGUGGGUUAUCGUA